CACACAGACACUAACUCACUCACUAGCAGACACACACUAACAGACACACACACACUCACUGACACACACACUCACAAUCAGACACACACAAACACACUCACUCACUAGCAGACACACACACUCACUGACAAACACACUCACACUAACAGUCAGACACACACACACUCACUAACAGACACACACACUCACUGACAGACACACUCACUAACAGAUACACACACUAACAGACACACUCACUAACAG